GUGACCGUAGUGUAGCGGCAACACACCAGCUUGUGGAGCUGGGUUCGGGAGUUCGAAUCUCCUCGGUCACC
rnacentral:tRNA from 1 species